CAACAGCCGCGGGAAUACGAAGGGUGCAAGCGUUACUCGGAAUUACUGGGCGUAAAGCGUGCGUAGGUGGUGGUUUAAGUCCGUUGUGAAAGCCCUGGGCUCAACCUGGGAAUUGCAGUGGAUACUGGGUCACUAGAGUGUGGUAGAGGAUAGUGGAAUUUCCGGUGUAGCAGUGAAAUGCGUAGAGAUCGGAAGGAACAUCUGUGGCGAAGGCGACUAUCUGGGCCAACACUGACACUGAGGCACGAAAGCGUGGGGAGCAAACAGGAUUAGAUACCCGCGUAGUCCCUGUCUCUUAUAC
rnacentral:rRNA from 1 species